AUUGAACGCUGGCGGCAGGCCUAACACAUGCACGUCGAACGAGUGGCGGACGGGUGAGUAAUGUCUGGGAAACUGCCUGAUGGAGGGGGCUAACUCCUGGCAACGGUCGCUAAUACCGCCUACCAUCGGAUGUGCCCAUGUGGGAUUAGCUAGUAGGUGGGGUAAAGGCUAACCUAGGCGACGAUCCCGAGCUGGUCUGAGAGGAUGAACAGACACACUGGGACGGAGACACGGUCCAGACGCCUACGGGAGGCAGCAGUGGGGAAUAUUGCACAAUGGGCGAAAGCCUGAUGAAGCCAUGCCGCGUGAAUGAAGAAGGCCGUCGGGUUGUAAAGUACUUUCAGCGGGGAGGCGUUACCCGCAGAAGAAGCACCGGCUAACUCCGUGCCAGCAGCCGCGGUAAUUC
rnacentral:rRNA from 1 species